GAUGAACCCUAUAUGGUUCCUCCAAGGAAACAAAUAAUGCAUUGCCACAAAAUCACUCGAAGAAUAGUGUUACAAAUAUGUGCAUUUAAAAGAGUAUUCAAAAUAAUAUCAAAAGGAAAAUUUUUCUGUUUACACUAUUACAAUCAGAACCUAGCACAAAAAUUUUCCCUGAAGGAGCACCAGGAGAUCUCGAGUUCAAAUAUGACAACAGAAACGCACCAGCAACAAAGUUGAAGUGAAGUGCCCGCAUAAUUAGGCCAAAUACACGAAAAUCUGAUUCACCACCAAUAUACUAAUCAGACUUGAGCCAUCUGGCGUUUCAAUGCCUGCAAUGACUUGAUUUUUGACUCGCAAAUACGAAGAAAUUCAGACAAUACUGUAGAACUACCAGUCACUAUCUUCCUUGCAACAUCCACAUGGCUCCACGACUUUACUGCUUGGGAGAUCCGGCUACCAAGUUCAACCUCAUCUAUGGAUGACAUAAAGCUUUCCAGAAUUCGGAAAACCAGCCCAGGCCCUUCACCCUGUCCCUUUUUCCUAAGAGAGGACAGUAUAAUUUCCACAACCUCAUCCUCUGGUCUUUUAAUCUGGUCUCUUAUCCACUUUGCAACUUCUUCAACUAUAGAACAAGAAGAAUCGAUUGAAUCUCGGAUUGUACUAGAUAGUUGAGAGGUGGAGUGCUCUGCAGGUCCACCUUUCUUCUUCUUCUUUCCGGAUGGAAGAGAUGAUCGUACACAGGAUUGGAGUACAAGACCAUGCCAAGCUAAUGGCUCCGUAACCAAUUGCACUAAAGUCGGAAGAUCACCCCCUGGGAAGCAAAUAAGAGACUCCAUGGAUCUGGCUUUCUCUGAAAUAUGCUUAUCCAACAAAGUAUCCACAUUGUGCCAUGUAUGCCCACACUGAUCUCCACCCGGCUGUGAGAGCUCAUGGGAAUUCAAGUUCCACGCAUUCAAAAAAACAGCAAAGUUAAGCCAGUCAACUGUGUCUGAUCCAAAAGCCUCAGAUGACUUAAGGCCAGUAGAAACUCCCAUAACCACUUCUAUUGCAUCAGUUAAAGACGAUCCCAACAUCUUUGCAUAACGCUCAAGCAAAAACUUCAACUCUGAUGAGAUUUUGGGCUCAGACAUAGAGCCAUUGACUUCAGCAUUCUCCUUAAGUGAUACUGAAGCACUUUGAAUAGACAAAUAGAUCAUCCGAGGGAGAAGAGAUUUCCUUUCAAUAACCCUCCGUACAUUUUCUUCCCUUUCUUUUGUCUAUAUUAUGAUUAAUGCAUCAAAGGAAAAAGUAAUGUAAAGGACAUUAAAAAAGCGAAGAAAGCCUAUUGAAGAAAAGUUCCUUACCAAGUUUUCUUUAGGACAAUAUGAGAUUCCUUCAAAUGGACCUAAAAGAUAAUUUUUCCCUGGAACUGGUGUCCACCAAGGCCGUGACUGAAAAUCUUCAUUGAAGGUCAAAGUUUUGGAUGUGAUCUCAUUAGAAAGCUCAACAAAAUGAAUUCCACAAUUCAAGCUUUCAAGAACACCCUCUUCUUCUUCAAUGCUAUCAGCUCUCUGCUUUAGCUGUAGAAUUGGUGAUUCAACCCUCGCGACUAAAUACUGAUUAGACCGUUGCAAUUGUUCUUUAAACUGAACAAACUCAAUUACCUUUGAGUAAUUUCUAUGGCGAUAGGCAAGAAAUGUAAGGUCUGCAGAUUCCCUGAAGUGGUCAUCCAUAAAUCUGAGAUAAUCUUUCAGUAGAUUGCUCAAAUCAACCCAAAGAGGUGAUAGCAACAUAUGGGGCAAAAUAUGGUGUGAAACGGUUUCCAUCAAUAUAUUCUUCACGUCUAGAGAUUUAUACCAUUCAUAAGCUAAUGAAAGGGCACCCAAGUGUGAAUACAAGUGCAGCAAUAAGAUCUUGUACUGCCAUACAUAUCGUCGGAUAGUCAACCCAAACUCCAAAACCAUAAUCGCCUCCAGGAAGUAGCCCAGAUGUCUUGUCCUCCAGUACAACUGAACCAGCACACUGCACGUCAUAGAUAGCAGCUCUUCUCCAUGCAUACUUUCUUGUGGAUCCAGUCCCUUUGAUAGUGGAAGACUUUUCCAAUACAUCUCCACCAUUUGUCCAGCUAAGGCCUCGUGUUCAACAACAGGGACCUUGUCUAUGUUUCCAAUCAACUGCUGAAUUUUGAAUGCAGUUAUUGACAGCCCAAGAACUUUAGUUGGAAUUGUUGGAAGGGAGUUGGUGCCUUUCAUUACUUUCUCUAGAAACUCCAUCUUGUUAUCAGGAGUUAGGACUUGAAGAAACAUUUCAACAUCAGAAGUGAAGCAGGCCAAGUGACCAAACUUGAAAAAAUAUUGCAUUAGAGCUUUCAUUAUAUCAUCAUAGUUGCUCUUUCCAUAUAAGUGUCGCCGCCUUUCAAUUUCAAGAAUUGCCAAAUAUGGACCUCUUAGAAAACAAUUAUUGGCAUCCACCUGGAACUUUAGCAAAAAAGCUGAUGCAUUUGAUAAACGAGAAUUCAACACUUCAUCUGUCAAGUGAGAGACUGUGCAUUCCACAAAUUUAGGGGGGUGAACUGGAUCACCAUUCACUCCAUUACUCCAGCUGCUGUCAUCCUCCAGCAAGCAGCCUAGAUAAUGUAGGAAACACUCCCAAUCAUCAGGGCAUAAUUCUAAAAUCUUCUGAUAUGUGUUGGCUCCUGCAGCAAAGUCACCUGACUGAGCAAGCAGCCUCCCCUGUAUGCGUAACUUAUCAACUUCAAUCAUUAGAAGUGAUCCUAAUUUCCCAGAUAGAAUUUCCAAUGCAUCACCAUACUUUGCUUGCUGUUCCAGUAUGGAUAUAUAUACAAUAAGAGCUUCAGGUUCAUGCAAACUAUGGGAAGCAACAUGCUUCUUAAGUAAGCCUUCGGCUAAGAGUAAAAGUUUCUCUCCUCCAUUGCCACAAAACACCUGUAGCUGGAUACUACAAACAGCCCAGAGCAAAAACCUUUCUUCACCAACAAGCUUGUACAUUUUGAUGGCUGUCUGUUGCUGCUUGACGAAUGAAUAUUCUCGAACAUAACAGUUGAAAAGCCCCAUCAUUAAUUCCAAAUUAUUUGGAAAUUUACUACAAGCAUACUCAUAACAGCUAGUACCCAAUUCCAAGUGAUCAAGCCGUUGGAAAACAAUCUGCAAAGUACUGAGAGUGAGAUCAUCCAUUAACAUAGACUCAUUCUUAUAUAAAAGUUCCUUGGCAUUUAAGCAAAUGGCUAAUGCUUCAUCAGAUUUACCCAUCCUUUCCAAGAUUAAAGCUUUCAAUGCAAGAGCGUAAGGUGAAUUAGGGUAUUUAGAAAGCAAAGCAGCGGACAGUUUCAGAGCGUUCUUGAACUGCCGAGAAUCUACGGCGUCCCAUAUCUGUCGGACCCGCCGCUCCGGUAUACCGCCAGCUAAGCCGAACUUGGACGCCAUUAGGGUUCGAUCUCUCUCUCUGGGUUUUUUUGUUGGGUAGUUUGAAGUGGCGAAGUUGGGGAAAGGAGCAAGGCAAGUAACGGUUUAAGUCAUCUAUCUGCGUGCGAGUCCAAGUGGCGGAACUGAGAUCGUUGGGAAACCUAAUCGGAGCGUUUGGAUGCGAGCGUAAUAGAAAACGCCGUUUCGAAGAAAAUGGCCCUCCGAUUUUCAAACCCG
rnacentral:misc_RNA from 1 species